GACUGAAGGCAAAUCGGCGUUCGCCGAGCCUGGGAGAGUUUAGGGUGGCUGUGCUAGUUGCUGCUGUAGGCUUGCAAGAUGCCAGGUCUGGCGGCCGCAAGCCCUGCCCCGGCUGAGUCACAGGAGAAGAAGCCUCUGAAGCCCUGCUGCGCCUGUCCGGAGACCAAGAAGGCGCGCGAUGCUUGCAUCAUUGAGAAAGGAGAAGAGCACUGUGGACACCUAAUUGAGGCCCACAAGGAAUGCAUGAGAGCCCUAGGAUUUAAGAUAUGAAAUGCAUACUACUGCUUUUGGAAGAGGAACAGGUGUUUGGAUCUGCUUUGGUCCCAGGUGGUUUACUCUGUGAAUGAAUAAUUCCUGAAGAAUGAAGAAGAUUCAGUAAUUUUGGGAAUUUGUGGAACUUUGAUAAAUGGAAAAAGUAUUUAUAACUUAUUUUUAGAAAAAGGAAAUUAUCUCUGGUCAGAAAUCUUCAAGUGUGUCUCUUUUUGUGUUCCUCACGUCCUCACAUGGCAUUUAUUUUUCUUAAAGGAUAUAGUAUAAAAAAAAUCCUGUAAUAUUAAUUUCUUAUGUUCUUGUGUCAUUCUGGGAACUCUAGAUUUUAGUUGUAACGAGAAAGCAGAUCCUGAUCUCAUUCAGUGAAACCUCCAAAAUGAGGUGCAUAGAAGUAAGGAAAUAACCCUUUACCAAU